UGAGCAAUCUGCCCUUCUCAUCGGAAUAAUCGUUGGAAACGACGUCUAAUGCCGAAUACGACCUCCUUUCGCAUGAUCGGAGGUGGAAAGCUCCGGCGGAGAAGGAUGAGCUCGCGGCCUAUCAGCUAGUUGGUGUGGGUAAUGGCCCACCAAGGCGACGACGGGUAGCCGGCCUGAGAGGGUGACCGGCCACACUGGGACUGGGACACGGCCCAGACCUCCGUACGGGGAGG
rnacentral:rRNA from 1 species